UACGGAGGAUGCAAGCGUUAUCCGGAAUGAUUGGGCGUAAAGCGUCCGCAGGUGGCUAUGUAAGUCUGCUGUUAAAGAGUGAGGCUCAACCUCAUAAGAGCAGUGGAAACUACAUAGCUAGAGUGCGUUCGGGGCAGAGGGAAUUCCUGGUGUAGCGGUGAAAUGCGUAGAUAUCGAGAGGAACACCUGCGGCGAAGGCGGGUUGCUGGGCUGACACUGACGCUGAUGCGCGAAAGCUAGGGGAGCGAACGGG
rnacentral:rRNA from 1 species